CCUACGGGUGGCAGCAGUGAGGAAUAUUGGUCAAUGGGCGCGAGCCUGAACCAGCCAAGUAGCGUGAAGGAUGACUGCCCUACGGGUUGUAAACUUCUUUUAUAAAGGAAUAAAGUGAGGCACGUGUGCCUUUAUGUAUGUACUUUAUGUAUAAGGAUGGGCUAACUCCGUGCCAGCAGCCGCGGUAAUACGGAGGAUCCGAGCGUUAUCCGGAUUUAUUGGGUUUAAAGGGAGCGUAGAUGGGUUGUUAAGUCAGUUGUGAAAGUUUGCGGCUCAACCGUAAGAUUGCAAUUGAUACUGGCAGUCUUGAGUACAGUAGAGGCAGGCGGAAUUCGUGGUGUAGCGGUGAAAUGCUUAGAUAUAACGAAGAACACCGAUUGCGAAGGCAGCUUACUAAACUGCCACUGACAUUGAUGCUCGAAAGUGUGGGGAGCAAACAGGAUUAGAUACCCGAGUAGUC
rnacentral:rRNA from 1 species